rnacentral:rRNA from 1 species
AACGAACGCUAGCGGUGUGGAUUAGGCAUGCAAGUCGCGCGCGAAAGCCUUCGGGCGAGUAAAGCGGCGAAAGGGUGAGUAACACGUAACCAACGUACCCCUCAGACUGGGAUAACCACUGGAAACGGUGGAUAAUACCGGAUGGUCCACUGGGCAGCAUUGCCUGGCUGGUAAACGGCGGCCGCAAGGCGGUUGCUGAGGGAGCGGGUUGCGGCCUAUCAGCUUGUUGGUGAGGUAACGGCUCACCAAGGCUAUGACGGGUAACAGGUCUGAGAGGAUGAUCUGUCACACUGGGACUGAGACACUGCCCAGACUCCUACGGGAGGCUGCAGUCGAGAAUCUUCCACAAUGGGCGAAAGCCUGAUGGAGCGACACCGCGUGCAGGAUGAAGGCCUC